ACUAACAAAUUCUUGCGCAACUCGCAUAUAAGAACUUUAUGAUAAUUUUGAACAGUUUUCAACUUAUAGAAUCCAAUUAUGAUACGUUUUAAUUUUUAUGGCACCUUUAUCGAGAUUAACUGGUUAUCGUAUACUAAUAUAUGCUUUAGGAAUACUUUCAUUUUUUUGCCAGAUGGAUUUUUUAUUUUAGGUUUUUCUUUUUGCUUAUUGAAUAGUUCAUAACUAUCAUGUCUAUGGUAGUUGAUUAUAAGUAAUUAAAAUAUGCAAAUUUUGAGCACUCUUAUCGAAUUCACAUUAAAAUCAUUUUCUUUGGAACAUGUAUAGCGUUAACUAGUCACCGGAUAUUUAAAGUGUGCCUAUGCUGCAACUGUUCAUUGUCUCUGUGAAACCCAAACAAAUUGAUGAUAGAUACUAAUAUUCAAACAGAUUUCAUACGAUUUUACCUAACUAACUAGUUCAACUUGGUUAAAUAUCUUCAAAAGGACCAGCUCCUCCUAUAUCACAUUCCACUUUAUGUAUUUUUUUAGUACUC